UACGUAGGGGGCGAGCGUUGUCCGGAGUUACUGGGCGUAAAGCGCUUGUAGGCGGUCCACCAAGUUUGGGGUGACAGUUGCCGACUUAAUCGGCAAAGUGCCUCAAAGACUGGCGGACUUGAGGGCCACAGAGGGACAUGGAACUCCAGGUAUAGUGGUGAAAUGCGUAGAUAUCUGGAAGAACACCAAAGGCGAAGGCAGUGUCCUGGGUGGUCGCUGACGCUGAGAGGCGAAAGCCAGGGGAGCGAACGGG
rnacentral:rRNA from 1 species